GUAGACAUCUUUAACAAUUUUAAGAGUUGCUUGAUGUGAAGGAAGAAGAAUCGAAAUCCAAUAUUUUAAGUGCAAGAAAAAAAAAAGAAAGACGUGAUGAACAGUAACAGUGUUGAAAAUGACAUGGAAAUCUGAGAAAAGGCAUCAAUUAUGCAUAUUCUCCGACAAGGUUUGCCCUAUGAUCUCAGUCCAAGUAGCAAAAUUUGGUCAACUUUUAUGAAUAUGGAUGAAUGAAGAAUAUUCCGAUUCAAUGGCAUCUUAGAAUACUUGGUAGACUUUCUGUAUCCCUAUAAUAGAAUAGAAUAGAAUAACACCACCCAAAUUUCCACGUGCAUCCCCUUAAUCAAUCAUAACCUCUCUCCCUAACAACUUUAACAACAUUUCAUUAUAUCCUCUACUUUCAACUCUCAUUCUCCCCUUUCACCAACAUCUUUGUCCCCUUAACUUUGCUGCAUUCUUUUCUACUUU
rnacentral:lncRNA from 1 species